ensembl:lncRNA
AUGCCGGUGCCCCCCACCCCCCCGUGUGGCCUGCGGGGGCUGGGGCCUGAGCUCCUCACACCGCCACGCUUGCCGGGAGCACUCUGUCUUGCAAAGAGGUGUCCUGGCCCCCUAUGCUGUGCCCUCCGAGCUCCUGCUGGUGGAGGAGAUCCCACGGAACCAGAUGGGCAAGGUGGACAAGAAGGCCCUGCUCAGGCAGUUCUACCCCGCGUGACCACGGGACCACGGCCAGGCCCAGAGCCCUCCCCGGACCUGACGCUGGGCAUGAGACCCGCACGCUGCCUCCCACAGCCACUGAUGUCCCAGCCCAGGGCCCCCAGACACUCCCUUGUGGUGGUAACACCCCACCUGCUGGACUCUCUCCUCAGCAAGUCCUGGAGGGAUCCCGGAGAAAAACAAACACUGUCCUGUGCUGUCUGCACACACCUGCACACACCUGCACACCUGUGUUGUCUGCCCACACCUGCACACACCUGCACACCUGUGCUGUCUGCCCACACCUGCAUACACCUGCACACCUGUGCUGUCUGCACACACCUGCACACCUGUGCUGUCUGCCCACACCUGCACACACCUGCACACCUGUGCUGUCUGUCUGCACCUGCACACACCUGCACACCUGUGCUGUCUGCCCACACCUGCACACACCUGCACACCUGUGCUGUCUGUCUGCACCUGCACACACCUGCACACCUGUGCUGUCUGCCCGCACCUGCACACACCUGCACACCUGUGCUGUCUGCCCGCACCUGCACACACCUGCACGCCUGCACACACCUGCAUACCUGUGCUGUCUGCACACCUCUGCACACCUGUCCAGAGCUGUGUGCUGCCCUACAGUGGGAGCACCUCAGCUCCCAAGGGUGGAGCCAGCUGCCUCGCCCCAACCCAGAGUCCUCCCAGGUCCUCCCAGACCCCUGCUCCCCCAAACCCCACGUCUUGCUGGCCUCCACCUUCCCAGCCCACAGGGAAGUGUUAGGGUGCGUGGGUGCCCCCGUGUGCACUCAGAGGCCACGUGAAGCGUCCUGGAGUUUCUGCAUGACUCCUGGGGAGCCGGGCACAGCUGUCCCCAUGGCCUGUAGGGAGGGACGGCCACAGCCCUGCAGGACUCUGCCCCAGAAUGCAGACCUACGGGGCCCGGUCACAGCCCUCCCACCGCCUGCUGUCCCUCACCCUCCCCUGCGCUGGGCAGGGCCAUGCUGGGAGGAAAGGCCCCGGGAGGGGGCAGCGCUCAGCGCUCGCCGGUCUGGACAGCUGGGCCUCGGCUUCGUGGUGGCUCAGGAGACACCUGCUCCUGGGCGGAAGUCAGCGGCUGUAAGACUUUCACUGAAUCCUGCUGGCUUCGCUCUUGCGUUUUCUAUAACCUGAAGGUUCCGGCUCCUAAAAAUGUUUGCAUCAUCCGCACUGCCUCGUGGUUUGAGUCACACCGUCCAGCGUCGUCACAGGAAAACCUUCCUGCAGGACGCUGACGCCAUCGAGACGUGCGCAGCUCCUGCGUCCUCGGAACGCGCUCCUGGGGCGCAGCCAGAGCACCGCACCCUGCCACCUCUCUGCCUCGUCUGUCUCCCUGAGACGGGGCUCGGGCAGCCAGCGUCCAGCUCAGCCUGGCACAGGUCUCCUGGGGACACCGUCCACCCCCGGGGCCCCAGGAAGUUCCACAGGCUGGCUGAGCCAGCCCGCACCCCACACACCCUGACAGGCAGCCCCGGCCGUCCGAGCCGGGGCCAGGAGCAGGUGCCCUGAGAGCUGCUGCUCGCACUGGACGAUGAACCCACCCGACCUGCUCCUGAGUUGGACUUCAGUCUGUUGGAGGUGCAGGGGUCUGGUGGAGCCUCGGUCCCUGGGGCCCAAGAAGGGACAAGGCACCAUGAGCAGGACGAUGGCCCUGGCGCCUUCCCCCAGGGUUCUGCAGUCCUUCCUGCCCCUCCCCCGUUGGUGGCCAGGGAGCGGCCCUUGCUGCCCCAGCACUCUGUCCACUGCGGCAUCACCCUGCAGGUGGGCUGUGGGCCACCAGCGUGGAGGGGUCAGGAGCUCUGCUUCCCAUCCCAGCCUCUCACGCAGGAAAGGGGGGGUCAGCUGAGGCUGAGGCGUCCACCAGGGCCCAGCCAGCCCCUGCCCCGGCACCCCCCCAGCUCCCUCUGCCUGGGCGUCCUGCUCCGAUGCAGGCUGACGGAGGAGCUUGGUCCCCAUGGGGCCGCAGCAGACAGCAGAGGUGCAGAGCAUGGCCCCUGGGUAAAUCGGGCACAGAGUGGGGCUGCCGCAGCGAGGCGGGCAGGCCGGGGGUUGGCCCCACUGGCCCCGGGACAGCCGUCACGGCCCUGCCUCAGCCCUGCAGUGCCACGGUUUUGCCGUUGUCCCGCGUGGUGGC